rnacentral:rRNA from 1 species
UACGAAGGGGGCUAGCGUUGCUCGGAAUCACUGGGCGUAAAGCGCACGUAGGCGGAUUGCUAAGUCAGGGGUGAAAUCCUGGAGCUCAACUCCAGAACUGCCUUCGAUACUGCGGGUCUCGAGUCCGGGAGAGGUGAGUGGAAUUCCUAGUGUAGAGGUGAAAUUCGUAGAUAUUAGGAAGAACACCAGUGGCGAAGGCGGCUCACUGGCCCGGUACUGACGCUGAGGCGCGAAAGCGUGGGGAGCAAACAGG